GAGGGGAUAGCUCAGUGGUAGAGCACAUGCUUAGCAUGCACGAGGUCCUGGGUUCAAUCCCCAGUACCUCCU
rnacentral:tRNA from 1 species